UUUUAGUUGAAGUCAAACUAGAGACACUUUAUUGUUAAUAAAGAAUAUUGGAGCCCAGCCCUAACUAAAAG
rnacentral:tRNA from 1 species